AUUGAACGCUGGCGGCAUGCUUUACACAUGCAAGUCGAACGGUAACAGGCCUUCGGGUGCUGACGAGUGGCGAACGGGUGAGUAAUGCAUCGGAACGUGCCCAAAGGUGGGGGAUAACGCAGCGAAAGCUGUGCUAAUACCGCAUGUGAUCUGAGGAUGAAAGCGGGGGACCAAGCAGCAAUGUUUGGCCUCGCGCCUCUGGAGCGGCCGAUGUCAGAUUAGGUAGUUGGUGGGGUAAAGGCCUACCAAGCCGACGAUCUGUAGCUGGUCUGAGAGGACGACCAGCCACACUGGGACUGAGACACGGCCCAGACUCCUACGGGAGGCAGCAGUGGGGAAUUUUGGACAAUGGGCGCAAGCCUGAUCCAGCAAUGCCGCGUGCGGGAAGAAGGCCUUCGGGUUGUAAACCGCUUUUGUACGGAACGAAAAGGCUCUGGCUAAUACCUGGGGCUGAUGACGGUACCGUAAGAAUAAGCACCGGCUAACUACGUG
rnacentral:rRNA from 1 species